rnacentral:rRNA from 1 species
GAUGAACGCUGGCGGCGUGCCUAAUACAUGCAAGUCGAACGAGUCUUCGGACUAGUGGCGACCGGGUGAGUAACACGUUGGUACCUGCCCCGAAGUGGGGAAUAGCUGGCCGAAAGGUCAGCUAAUAACGCAUAAUACCGCCAGGGUAAAGUAGCAAUACGCCUCGGGAGCGGCCUGCGUAUGAUUAGCUAGUUGGUGUGGUAACUGCCCACCAAGGCGACGAUCAGUAGCUGGAUCGAGAGGUUGACCAGCCACACUGGGACUGAGAUACGGCCCAGACUCCUACGGGAGGCAGCAGUAAGGAAUCUUCCACAAUGGACGAAAGUCUGAUGGAGCAACGCCGCGUGCAGGAUGACGGUCUUCGGAUUGUAAACUGCUUUUAUAUGGGAAGAUUAUGACGGUACCAUAUGAAUAAGGACCGGCUAACUACGUGCCAGCCGCCGCUGUAA